CCAAUCAAAGACACACAAUUAUAAACAAUAUAAACAAAACAUAAAAUAACAAACUUAAAAUAACAUUCAAAAGUAUCUAAAUCAUAAAUUAAAGACUUAUAAAGUCUUUUAAAAUUUCAAAAAGUUCAUAAAUGUCCAGAGAUCUAAACUAGGGAGUGAGAUCUACAUAAUCAUCCUCAUCACUCUCGUCGUCGGUGUCAUCAGGAGCCGAAGUACUAGGUCGACGAGCGAGGUUCAUCACUUGUUCUUUGAUUUGCUGAACGGUCUCACUCAUGCUUUGUUGUUCAGCUACUCUUUUCCGCUCCGACUCUGCUAGUGCCGCUGUAAGUUUAGCUAUUUGAUCCGACAUAGCAGCAAUCUGAACACCGUCAAGUGCCUCAGCUUGACGUGACGAUCGAAUACCUUCUAAGCCUGACU
rnacentral:lncRNA from 1 species